UUCUUUUUAACCCCCUUAAAUGAAAAAAGGGGUUCCCCGACUUAGAUAGGGAACUAUGCGAGUGAGCUACCUAAUCUUAUUGUAGAAAUUUUCAGGAUCAAUGAUUAGACCAUGCAAACUAGAAAUGCUUUUUCUUGUAUAAAGGAAGGGAUUACUCGAUCCAUUUCCAUAUCGAUCAUGAUAUAUAUAAUAAUUCGAGCACCCAUUUCAAACGCAUAUCCAAUUUUUGC
rnacentral:lncRNA from 1 species